rnacentral:lncRNA from 1 species
UGUGUGUGUGUGUGUGUGUGUGUGUGUGUGUGUGUGCUAGACAGCUAAAGUGUGUGUGUUUUUUUAGCGUGUGUUGCAUCAGAAGAGGAGAAUGGUCGAUAAGAAGAUGGUCGAUAAGAAGAUGGUCGGAGUGGCCGCGUCUCUGUGUGGCUUUCUACAGCUCUGCAUGGCACUGCCCCCCACCUGCACUGUCACCCCGGAUGCCCACCAGACAACAUACAGCAUCUCAGACCCGUCACAGGUCUUUGAUAAGAAUGCGACAGGGUGUGAAUAUUCGUGGACUAAUGCAAGUAAAUAUGUGUUUGCAAACCACAUGGAUAAAAUCCCCCCGGUGACACUUGAAAACAUCACCACUCUAGUCGCUUCCGAGUGCAUUGGCAACAUGACACUAGCACGAAGAUGCAUCUCAGAGGGCAGAGAUUUCUUAAUCACUUGCAACACCACCUGCAGUGGGAAUGAUGAUGUCUUCCCAGGAAUAGAGAUUUUUCUCUCUUGCACUGGCAUAGCUGUGUUUCUGCUGCUGGCUGGGGCCAUUUUCCUCUGCUACAGACACAAAAAUAAAAGUGGCAGGACGUGCAGCUGCAUGCAGACCGGAGGCUUUUACACUUUUGUGAAGAUGCAGGUUGAACCACCAGCAGUCGUCAUUGUGUAAACCGUCUUACCUCUUCUCCACCAAUCACUUCCUGCACCUGGAAUCAAGUAACAUCUGGAGAACACCUCCUUUCGAGGUCCUUCAUUGGACUUUCUCUCCUCCUCUUCCUCUCUCACUGCCCUGAUGACCGCUUCACCUCAUGUGAAAAGCCUCCUUCACUAAGAGUGUUUGAGGCAGAUGCACUGGACUCUGUUCUUAUGGCAACAAAACAGCAUGACUGUUAAAGUCGUGAGGAACCUGACCUGAUAGAGCUGCCUGUUAAUUAUAUUGUUAAUGUGACCAUAGUAAUUCCUGGCUGUAACAGAAUCACAAAGAUGGCACUCACUGCCUUUAGGACUACUAUGACCACACUCCAGAAACCUUCCGGUAGUAAUUUUUAAAGAUAGAGAUCAUUUAUUUUAACCAGAGUUCCAAAUGAGUUGUUUUUAGUGUGCUUAUGUUCAGAUACUUUAGGACUGAGGUGAAAAUGCAGUGGUGCCUACACUAGGUGCUGGAGGAAGACAUUUUUCUGUCACUGGUCAAAUGAUAGAAUAGAAUAGAAUAUACUUUAUUAAUCCCUUUGGGAAGGUCCCUCAGGGAAUUUGGGACAAAUGAUGCUAAAAUGUAUAGAUCUUUAUCUCCUGAGCCUGUGCAAUCUAUUUAAGCGUUCUUUCUUUAACCUUAUAUGUUUUUUGUUAUGCUGUUGCUGAAAAUGUUUUCACUGCGUUUCCCUGCAGUCUUUCGGUCAGGGCACACUUGAUCCUCUGCAUUAAUCUUUGUGUAAAUCAGAAAAAACUGUUAUUGUAUUUUUCUUUUAUACGUUAUCUAAUGCUGUGUUUGUGGCCAUCUUCCCCCAAACCCUUCUUGAAAAAAGUGUAAUGUUAUAUUUAUAUAAUUCUUUGUAUUUAUACGCAACUGAAUUGUUUUACCAUUUCCUCCAGUCAUUCCAUGAGUCAUUUAUCAUUUGCAUAUAUAUAUAUGAUAAAUACAUUAUUAAAAUUUUUUUAUACUUUUACUGUUCACGUGGCUAUUGCUCAAAAUGAGUACGGUAGUCAUGAAUGCAUAUUAAGUACAAAUUAUUUUAAAAUAAAC